UGAAGAGAUAGGCCAUGACUACUGACUCUUUGUUGAUGAAGAGGAGGCCAAAAGCCCAGGUGUCCUCAAACAGACUCAUACUGACUCCACAGGCCAGCAAGCACAGACUGGAUGGACUGUGCCCUUCCUGGCUCUGGAAGAGCAGCUCCGCAAGGAAGAGGUUGAUGCACAGGUUCUUGUGGAUGGUGUUGCGGUCAGUCUGCAAGCCCCGCAGGAA